AUUGAACGCUGGCGGCAUGCUUUACACAUGCAAGUCGAACGGUAACAGGUUAAGCUGACGAGUGGCGAACGGGCGAGUAAUGCAUCGGAACGUGCUCGGUCGUGGGGGAUAACGCAGCGAAAGCUGCGCUAAUACCGCAUACGAUCUGAGGAUGAAAGCGGGGGACCGUAAGGCCUCGCGCGAUCGGAGCGGCCGAUGUCAGAUUAGGUAGUUGGUGGGGUAAAGGCCCACCAAGCCGACGAUCUGUAGCUGGUCUGAGAGGACGACCAGCCACACUGGGACUGAGACACGGCCCAGACUCCUACGGGAGGCAGCAGUGGGGAAUUUUGGACAAUGGGCGAAAGCCUGAUCCAGCAAUGCCGCGUGCAGGAAGAAGGCCUUCGGGUUGUAAACUGCUUUUGUACGGAGCGAAAAGGUCCUUUCUAAUACAAGGGGCUCAUGACGGUACCGUAAGAAUAAGCACCGGCUAACUACGUGCCAGCCGCCGCAGUAA
rnacentral:rRNA from 1 species